rnacentral:rRNA from 1 species
UACGUAGGUGGCAAGCGUUGUCCGGAUUUACUGGGUGUAAAGGGCGUGUAGCCGGGCUGACAAGUCAGAUGUGAAAUUCCGGGGCUCAACCCCGGACCUGCAUUUGAAACUGUUGGUCUUGAGUAUCGGAGAGGCAGGCGGAAUUCCUAGUGUAGCGGUGAAAUGCGUAGAUAUUAGGAGGAACACCAGUGGCGAAGGCGGCCUGCUGGACGACAACUGACGGUGAGGCGCGAAAGCGUGGGGAGCAAACAGG